AUGCUCUCUCAGGCAGUACAUAAACUAAAAUUAGAAUGAUACAGAGAAUAUUAGCAUGGCCCCUGUACAAGGAUGGCAUGCAAUUCGUAAAGAUUCCACCUUUUUUA
ensembl:snRNA U6 U6 spliceosomal RNA